GCAAAACUUUUUGUAACUAACAUUCUACUUGCUGUCUGCCAGGAAAACCCAGCCCAGAAGCUGUACACUACCAUGGAGAUGAGGGCAGUGCUCUCUUCAGAGGACAGGAAAACAAAGGCAGAUGAGAAAAUGAACAGAAUUAGCCCGAGGGACCAAGGAGAAGAUGUACCACUGUGGUGCUGGGGCCUUGCCUGGGGCUUCUGCAGCAUGGGUUAAUCGUGGCUCUCCAAGGCUGGCUUACAGAUGGAAAGUUUCCACUAAUCAAUGGCAAAGUGAAGAAAAUGGAACAAAGCAUCAUUUGGUAGUGUACACCACAUCAACAGGCUACAAUAAUUGUGGAACUAAUUUAAUCCUCACACAGUGAGUUGAUAAUCUUCUUUGGUUCCUACAAGGAAAGAAAACACCAUGAACUGGAAAAAGCUUUCUGUGGAAGUGAUGGGAAGUUUGUGGACUUUGCUGCCAGGUGAAUCUGGAUUUAAUCCCUGUUCUGCUGCAUAUGGAUUUAAUGGCUACAGAGUUUUCUUUACUUCGUUGAGCCCUAGUGUUUCCUGCCUAUUCAGGUAACACUAAAAUUGUUAGCAAGGAGGAGACAAUGAUUGCUACUUUCCCUGCAUAAAAUAAGUGCUCAAUAAAUGAUACUAACCAUCCUUUCUCCCCUCUUCUCUGCUCCUUCCCCUCAAAAACAAUUUCAUCUUCCCUCAUCUAGGGAAGGGUUUCUUAGCUAGGACCAACUCUGCCCCUUAGGGAUGCUUACUUUGUACUACCUGGAGAAAUUUCUGCGUGUCACAAGUAAAGGCUGCUACUGUCAUGAAGUAGGUAGAGGCCAGGAUGCUACAAAACAUCUCACAAUAAACAAACAGUGCCAAAUUACAAACAGUGCUGAAGCUGAAAAACCCUCAUCUAGGGUAAGGAUACCAGCCUUCCUGAUCGAGGGAGACUGAGACAAAGGUUAGGGGCCAUCAGAAAACAAUCUCCCGCAGAAGCUCUGGGGAAGCAGAACCUGCACAAUCCCAGAGGACAGAAGGCAGAGAUGCAGUUCCUGGUUCUGCCUCUUUGGAGCAGUCACUUAACUUUCCUGAUCCUCCAGCUUCUAACCUGGAAGCUAGAUGCCAAGCAUGGU